AACAGGAUUAGAUACCCUGGUAGUCCACGCCGUAAACGAUGAUUACUAGUUGUUUGCGAUAUACCGUAAGUGACUAAGCGAAAGCGAUAAGUAAUCCACCUGGGGAGUACGCCGGCAACGGUGAAACUCAAAGGAAUUGACGGGGGCCCGCACAAGCGGAGGAACAUGUGGUUUAAUUCGAUGAUACGCGAGGAACCUUACCCGGGCUUGAAAUGUACCUGACCGUCCUUGAAAAGGGACUUCUAGCAAUAGCAGGUAUGUAGGUGCUGCAUGGUUGUCGUCAGCUCGUGCCGUGAGGUGUCGGCUUAAGUGCCAUAACGAGCGCAACCCACAUUAUUAGUUACUAACAGGUUAAGCUGAGGACUCUAAUAAGACUGCCGUCGUAAGAUGCGAGGAAGGUGUGGAUGACGUCAAAUCAGCACGGCCCUUAUGUCCGGGGCGACACACGUGUUACAAUGGGAGGUACAAAGGGCUGCUACCUGGUGACAGGAUGCUAAUCCCCAAAGCCUCUCCCAGCUCGGAUCGGAGUCUGCAACUCGACUCCGUGAAGCUGGAUUCGCUAGUAAUCGCGCAUCAGCCAUGGCGCGGUGAAUACGUUCCCGGGCCUUGUACACACCGCCCGUCAAGCCAUGGGAGCCGGGGGUAUCUGAAGUGCGUAACCGCAAGGAGCGUCCUAGGGUAAAACUGGUGACUGGGGCUAAGUCGUAACAAGGUAACC
rnacentral:rRNA from 1 species